AACGAACGCUGGCGGCAUGCCUAACACAUGCAAGUCGAACGAGAUCUUCGGGUCUAGUGGCGCACGGGUGCGUAACGCGUGGGAAUCUGCCCUUUGGUUCGGAAUAACAGUUGGAAACGACUGCUAAUACCGGAUGAUGACGAAAGUCCAAAGAUUUAUCGCCAGAGGAUGAGCCCGCGUAGGAUUAGCUAGUUGGUGUGGUAAAGGCGCACCAAGGCGACGAUCCUUAGCUGGUCUGAGAGGAUGAUCAGCCACACUGGGACUGAGACACGGCCCAGACUCCUACGGGAGGCAGCAGUGGGGAAUAUUGGAUAAUGGGCGAAAGCCUGAUCCAGCAAUGCCGCGUGAGUGAUGAAGGCCUUAGGGUUGUAAAGCUCUUUUACCCGGGAUGAUAAUGACAGUACCGGGAGAAUAAGCUCCGGCUAACCCCGUGCCAGCCGCCGUAAUAC
rnacentral:rRNA from 1 species